GGUUGCUGGGAAACUUGAAGCAGGAAUGCCUGGCACGUGCACAGGUUUUCUCCGCCUGUUAGCUGCGCUGAUUCUAAGGAAUUUGAACUUUCUCCUAGGGUAGAAUCUUGAAGGAGUUUUGGACAAAGAAGAUGGCAAUGUGGGGAAUGGGCUCAAGGUGUCUGAGGGAGGAGGCAUGGAGACUCCUUGGAGUCUGCCACUGGGCCCAGGCUCUGGUUUCCCAGGAGCUCAGGGCCCUCCCUGAGCCUGUCCGAUCCCUGCUGCUGUAAGGAAAGGCCCACACAGAAUAAUUCACAAAAGUCCAGCCAUUUAAGACAAGCCUGUUUCCCCUUCGCCUUCCGCCUUCCAUCAUGAUUGUAAGUUUCCUGAGGCCUCCCCAGAAACUGAGCAGAAGCCACUAUACUUCCUAUACAGCCUGCAGAACUGUAAGCCAAUUAAACCUCUUUUCUUUGUAAAUUAGCCAGUCUUAGGCAUUUCUUUAUAGCUGUGUGAGAAAAAACUAAUACAAAACUUAAUCUGCAAAGCAAAAGUAUUAAAUGGAUGAAUACAACCACACAACAUUCAAAGUGCCAUUUAAAACCCAAGUCUGAUUUUGCUACAUCUCUGCUCAAAAUGGCUCCUUAUUUCAUCUGAGUAAAAACCAGAGUCGUCACAGGCCCUACCUGAUCUCCCUGUAACCUCUUUGAUGUCACCUACUUUCCUCUCUGUUCCAGUGGCACUGGCCUCCUUGCU
rnacentral:lncRNA from 1 species